UCGUAGAUGAAAGGUUUUAUAUAAAGGAGGAGGCUGGUGUGGAUUUCCUCUCCCUCCCAUUAAACUCAACAUGGCUUUCAAAGUUUCUACUGCCAUUGCAUUUUGCUUCGUUGCUUUUCUCAUCCUCGCCAACCAUAUUGUUUCCCCUCGACAACUCGUGGUAGUUCCUAGUGGUGGUGGUUCUGGCAAAUCUCCUGCCGUUGGAAUCUCGUCUCCUAUAUCUCACCCUUGUGAUGAUCCUAAGUACUCCCAAAUAUCCCAGAGGACAUGCUUGCCGCCGUCUCGUUGAGAC